rnacentral:rRNA from 1 species
UUAAAAUGAGAGUUUGAUCCUGGCUCAGGAUGAACGCUGGCGGCGUGCCUAAUACAUGCAAGUCGAACGCUUUGUUUUUAAUUGAUAUGAAGAGCUUGCUCUGAUUUGAUUUUCUCUGACAAAGAGUGGCGAACGGGUGAGUAACACGUGGGUAACCUACCUCUUAGCAGGGGAUAACAUUUGGAAACAAGUGCUAAUACCGU